rnacentral:rRNA from 1 species
GACAGAGGGUGCAAACGUUGCUCGGAAUUACUGGGCGUAAAGCGCGUGUAGGCGGACCGUUAAGUCAGGCGUGAAAGCCCUGGGCUCAACCCAGGAACUGCACCUGAAACUGGCGGUCUUGAGUGGUGGAGAGGGAAGUGGAAUUCCUGGUGUAGAGGUGAAAUUCGUAGAUAUCAGGAGGAACACCAGCGGCGAAGGCGGCUUCCUGGACACCAACUGACGCUGAGACGCGAAAGCGUGGGGAGCAAACAGG